rnacentral:rRNA from 1 species
CUACGGGGCGCAGCAGUGGGGAAUAUUGCACAAUGGGCGCAAGCCUGUUGCAGCCAUGCCGCGUGUAUGAAGAAGGCCUUCGGGUUGUAAAGUACUUUCAGCGGGGAGGAAGGGAGUAAAGUUAAUACCUUUGCUCAUUGACGUUACCCGCAGAAGAAGCACCGGCUAACUCCGUGCCAGCAGCCGCGGUAAUACGGAGGGUGCAAGCGUUAAUCGGAAUUACUGGGCGUAAAGCGCACGCAGGCGGUUUGUUAAGUCAGAUGUGAAAUCCCCGGGCUCAACCUGGGAAGUGCAUCUGAUAAUGGCAAGCUUGAGGCUCGUAGAGGGGGGUAGAAUUCCAGGUGUAGCGGUGAAAUGCGUAGAGAUCUGGAGGAAUACCGGUGGCGAAGGCGGCCCCCUGGACGAAGACUGACGCUCAGGUGCGAAAGCGUGGGGAGCAAACAGGAUUAGAUACCCCUGUAGUC